CCCUUUUCCCAGUCCGAAUCUCGCGCUACGUCGGGGGCACCUGGGUUUUUCAGCUUUCGGGACUCCUUCGGCCUAAAGAUUUUCGAUUCUGUGGUGGCUGAGAUUAUUUCAACGGGACUUAUUGCUGGAAGUUAUUGACCGCCAUCUCGACGAGGAAAGAAGAACGUACACUUGUAACAUGGUUGAAGGAAGGGAGAUCCAGCAAGUCCCUGUGGCGCAGAGGAUAGCGCGUUGGACUUCUAAUCCAAAGGUCGUGGGUUCGAUCCCCACCAGGGAUGACAAGGCCUUUACGAAUUCAGCAGGGUGCCAAGUGAAACAGCAAGACGAGGCACCUAGAGAGAAGUUUUAUUAAACUGCUAGAAAUGGCUGAAGUUUCGAACCAGUCGGCGUCUGGUAACAACCAGAACUCCCGAACAUAAACUCAUUGAAGUUUCCGACUUUUCGAGAGCAAUCUCGCUAAUUAAAUUACACAGUCCAUUACGAGAAACGCACCGCAU